UUUCACACCAAAAUUAGAUAAACGCAAACAUUUUUCAUCAUUCAAACACUCGGUAUUUUAUACACUUUACAGAAAAAAGAGACAUUACGAGGUUUACAUGAAACAUUAACGUGGCCUAAGAUAUUGAUACCACAUAUAGUAAGACAAACAAACGAUUGUACCCAGUAGAGUCUCACAUAUAAUAAGAAAAACAUAGAAAAAAAAAGAUAUUAAACAGUUGGAUUAUUUAUUUUACCAUGGCUUUGUAAUCUGCUCCAUACAUUCUAAUUAUGGAACUUAGUUGCUACAAAACCAACAAGUUACUUACCUUUCUUAAGGGGUAGGUUCAUUGCUCAAAUGGGUAUUGUGCUAUGGUCCAGCUGAAGCAAGUUUAGUAACAAGAGCAAGAGCAUUACUAGUAAAAUAACUCACUUUUGUAACCUUACUUGCCAACUUUUUUAUUGCUUUCCCUUUUUGCCCUUCAAACCCAUCUAAACAAGUGUCUUCAUCAGUAAUUGCACUACUAAUCCAAGUAGUUACAUCCUCCAUUUGGGCAUCAAAUAACUCACCACUAAUAUGUCUAAGCACCCCUAAUGAUUUGUGAAGAUUAUCCAAUGCAUCUUGAAACUCCUCCACACAAUCAAGAACCGCCACUCGGUUUCUUCCCUUCAUGGUAUUCUUCUUCUUUAGGGCUAUUAAGUAACGGGUCGUGUUCUUGGUAACACCUAUGGUGACCGAGAUACCAGCCCGGGCCCACUUACUCGGGUCCCGUUUCGCUGUGUUUGAGAAUGAAGAAAGAGAGUGAAUGCAAAGAUUUUGAUAUCUUGUAACACUACAAGCAUCUUUAACAUAGCUAUUCCCCUCUCUAGAUCCCCAUGAGCAUGAUGGGGCAGCUAACCAUGAUAGUAACAAGAAUGUCACUAACAUAAUUCUAGUACACACCAUUAAAAAGAUGAAGUUUUCUAAAUAAAAGAGACAAAUUUACAAAAAGAACUAUUUAAAGCUUUACUCUAUGUAGUUAUAUGGAGUUGAAAUGAUGAACAUGAUAUAUAUAUUAUGCAAAAAAGAAAGGGUUUUGUAUGAUGUGGAAAGUGUUAAGAAACAAGAAGAGGAUGAGAGUAAUAAAGAGUGGUAG
rnacentral:lncRNA from 1 species